CUCCUGGGGAAUCCUCGUGUUGCAUCCC
rnacentral:rRNA from 1 species